GUACUUGCUUCGGCAGUACAUAUACUGAAAUUGAAACGGUUCAGAGAAUAUGAGUAUGGCCCCUGCGUAAGUAUGUCAAGGAAUAUCGUGAAGCGUUUCACAUUUUU